rnacentral:lncRNA from 1 species
AAUGUUGUGCCUUCACAGAAUUUAAAUUGGCAUUAGGAAUAGACUUCCUUGAUUUAGUAAUGAUAUUGCUCAUAGAAAUUGAUAAUGUGAAGAAUAACAAUACAGGAACAUAGAAUAACAAGAAAGAAAUUCUAGCAGCAAGUUAGGGACACAGUAAAAAGACAAAACAUUUAGACCCUUUGAAAGAGAAAUGUUUGCAAUGGAUAUUAAUAAAUUCUAGCCAAUUUGUAUGAUGUACAAUGCAGGCAAUAUUUCUGCCUCCUAACGUACUAUUCGCGUAAAAGAAGAUGUGGGUAUUGUAUUUAUAGAACGGGUUUAUUAUUAGUUGGCUAGUGUGUUAGUAGGAUAGCCAUUAGUAGUUAUAAAGUAUGAAGUCGUCAGGUAUUAAUAAUAGGAAUUGAUCAAAACUUAUACAUUUAUUGUGAUAUUUAUAUUGUGAAUUUAAGUAGUUAGUUUUGAUUGUUUAAUAAACGAAUUAAUGUGCUUAUUGUGUAUCUAAUUAAAAGAACAAUGAAAAGUUGAAUACCAUAGGGGUACGUAUGUUAUACAAAGAAUUUGCAUCAACAUUUUUUUGGUUAUAUACUUGUACUGAUAUUUGUUUCUUGAACUAAAGAAUUAUACAGUACCUACUACACAAUAUAAUAAUCUGCAGCUACAUAGGUAGGUAGCUAUUGGUAAUUAAAUUUUUUAUCUAAUAUAAUAUCUAACAUCAGAAAUAUUGUUAAUUAUCAACUAUAAACAACUAAGAACUAGAAUUAUCAACUAUAAACACAAUAUAAUAUACUGUAUCUUAAGCAAUAUGUAAUUAUUUAACAAUUUUUUUGGGAAAUAAAAACUGGUACUAAAUUC